AUUGCCUCUCACAACCAUACUUCACUCCACAAUUAGUUUUACGAGAUUACGCAUCUCGAAUACACCGAGGAUGGUUGACUGGAUUGUGGACCGCCAAGGCUGGGGAAAAAAGACUACGAGCACGAGUCUGUGAAGUGAUAUGCGAGAGGAAAAACAUAACCCCUGUCAUAAAAAAGAAAAUCAAUGAAUAUUUGGAGGGCAGAUGAGUUCCACAGACUAAGGAGAACUCCACCCAGGGAUCAGGCAGAGUAUUUCCACCGUAUUCUCAAAUCUGACCCUGUGUGGGGAGGGAGAUUGCACAUGAUAUGGCGCAUCCUUGGGCAGAGUACUGGGACUUCCUGGAUAGCUUCAUUGACCUGUCUACAGAGGAGGGACUGAGGAGGUUGGAGGAGUAUCUGGAUAGGAAGGACCAGACUGAGCGUUCCCUAGAAGUAUAUGGGAAGACAGAGGGGACUGGUGCUGGAUUUAAAACAUCAAACCCUCCAAAGAGGAGCAGAACCAGAGCCAUGUCCUGAUCAACAACACCCUGAAUGACAGAAUGUCUCCAUCACAAAGGAGAAAAGUUCCCAGUCUUCUGUGUGUAAACUCCUGCCAGAGUUUGAGAAAUCUAGCCUAAAGGAUGGCUCUGUCCAAGUGGAGGACCAGGAGGAGGUAAAGAGUGUUGAGGGCCGUCUGGCUCCCUCUGUACCCAGGAAAGAGGAACUGGACCUGGGGGGUGACAGUUUCUGGAGGACCUGGGAGGGGAGUCAGGUGAAGAGGCAGGUGGAGGAGCUCUCCAACUCCAGCUCAGAGGAGUAUCUGACAGCAGACGAGGGCUCAGACUCUUGAGUGCCCAGGUAGUCCCCGAGACGGGAGAAGAGAAAGUAGAGGCUCAGGAUCCUCUACCACAUCUUACAAAUCCAUUAAGGGAGACUCUUCGAAAGAAACAAUUCUGACAACCGACACCCCUACAAAACGAAGACUGGAACUGUUCAUGGACGGGGAAUCUCCCACCAAGUUAGACAAUGAGGUCCUGUCUGCAAUGAAUAACAUGGAGAUUGACCCUGAAACCCCUGCAUUACUAAGUGGAGGAACACCAUUAUGGCCUAUCCCUCUUCACAGUGGCUAAGGCCGACAAGGAGGAAAAGCUUGACUGGGACACAAAACUGUUCUCCCAGCAGGCUCAGCUUUUGCAGCCCAGGCCCCCACACUCCUGCUCAGAGCUGUUGCACCCAGACCAUCCUCUGCAGGACCCUCUUCCGCUCCCUAAGCUGGCACAGGGAAACCACAAGAAAACAGGAUGUCACGUCCCAGGAUCUGAAGGUGGUGUUGCACAUACAAAAGGGAAAGUUGGCCAACAUCCUGCACCACCACAGCAGGUCCAUAGUCUAACAACUGACUUUAUAACCCAGGCAGUGCUUAUUUUACCCUUGUGCUGGUUUCCAUUUGUACAACUCUUUAGGCUGUUCUAUGCAAGGCACUGCUCCACUUAACACUAUUUACUUAUCAGGUAGCUAUUCAACAGCACUAAUGCUGCCUGCCUCUACAUGCAUGUCCUCAAUGCAAGCAUUCUCUUCUGGCGGAUAGCAUAGCUACAGAUUACACUUUCAACUUGAAGUUACCUAAUGGUGUACACUUUUCCCAGUGCCUAUGUAAUGUGUGUGUAUACAAGAUGUUUUAUACAUUAAAUGCUCAAAUAAUGCUUUUGUAUUGUUAAUCACUAUUACCUUAUUCCAGAGAUACAUUUGGAGAGUUUUAAAUUGUUUUAAUUUAUACCUAUACACAAGAAUGAUUAUGGCUGUAUUCAGAACCGUUUAUUCAUAAAAUGUAAUAAGCAUGAUCAAAUAAAUCAAUUUAUAAUCAAUA